rnacentral:rRNA from 1 species
UACGUAGGGUGCGAGCGUUGUCCGGAAUUAUUGGGCGUAAAGAGCUCGUAGGCGGUGUGUCACGUCGGCCGUGAAAACCUGCAGCUUAACUGUGGGCGUGCGGUCGAUACGGGCAUCACUGGAGUUCGGCAGGGGAGACUGGAAUUCCUGGUGUAGCGGUGAAAUGCGCAGAUAUCAGGAGGAACACCGGUGGCGAAGGCGGUUUCCUGGCCGAGUACUGACGCUGAGGCACGAAAGCGUGGGGAGCGAACGGG